UACGUAGGGGGCGAGCGUUGUCCGGAUUUAUUGGGCGUAAAGAGCUCGUAGGCGGCUCGGUAAGUCGGGUGUGAAACCUCCAGGCUCAACCUGGAGACGCCACCUGAUACUGCUGUGGCUAGAGUCCGGUAGGGGAGUGUGGAACUCCUGGUGUAGCGGUGAAAUGCGCAGAUAUCAGGAAGAACACCAGCGGCGAAGGCGGCACUCUGGGCCGGAACUGACGCUGAGGAGCGAAAGCGUGGGUAGCAAACAGG
rnacentral:rRNA from 1 species